AUGGCUCUUCGCGCUCUCUCAUGGAUUAGUGUCUCUCUGCUUGUCUUCUUGGCGUCCUGGUCAUGCGCUGCGGCCAGGGGCGCACGGGCACCAAAAGCCGCCGACCCAACCUAUGGGUUCACGUCGGUGAGGCUCGACGAGAGCAACUUUGUGCUGCAGCGCCCCUACGACGAGGCGAGCGGCGCACGCUACAGCUUCGACGGCACCGUGCGGAAGCUCUGGGUGCUCGCCUCCGACAAGCCCCAUGCCCGCCAGAGCCAUACCAGCCCAAGAACUGAGAUCAGGAUGGCAGGCUACGACUACAGCUCCGGCGUGUGGCAGUUCGAGGGCUAUGGUUACGUCCCCUCCGGCACCACAGGGGUGUCUAUUAUGCAGGUGUUCGGCGCCGGCGAGAUGGCCACCACGCUAAUGCUGCACGUCUAUGAUGGCGCGUUGCGGUACUACGACCGGCAGCUCGUGGAGGACGCCAUCUAUGAUAGAUGGUUCCGGCUGAACGUGGUCCAUGAUGUCGAGGCGUCGACGCUCAUCAUAUACAUCGACGGCGAGCAGAAGCUGCACGUACACGGCCGUGGAGGUGACUCUCACUACUUCAAGUUUGGUGUAUAUGCGCAGAACCAUGACUCCAGCUGCAUGGAGUCUCGCUGGAAGGACAUCAGGAUCUUCAAGAAGCAAUAG
rnacentral:rRNA from 1 species